rnacentral:tRNA from 1 species
UGCGGGUUACAUUCAGUUGGUAGAAGGUCGGGUUCAUAUCCCGAUAUGCGAUGGUUCGAGUCCAUCACUCGCCUCCA